GUGCUUGCUUCUGCCUCACAUAGACUAAAAUAGGAAAGAUCCAGAGAAGAUGAGCAUGGCCCUGCACAUGACAGUAUGCAAAUUCCUCAAGCGUUCCAUAUUUUU